AUGACGGAACCCAGGGCCAGAUUAAGAGCACAGUGGGCCUGGUGCUGACAAUUAUGAUGGGCCUAAUUACAGAAUCUUUUUGACCAAAAACACUAAAACAGUCAUACCUCCCAAGCGUCAUGUAUCUGAUGGAGAUGGUGCUGGAGGGAAACUCAUAGGAUGCAGCAAUAAGAAAACACAUACCCAAUGCUAAUCUCUCACUUUCAUCUUUCA